rnacentral:rRNA from 1 species
GACGAACGCUGGCGGCAAGCUUAACACAUGCAAGUCGAACGCCGUAGCAAUACGGAGUGGCAGACGGGUGAGUAACACGUGGGAACGUGCCUCUCGGUUCGGAAUAACUGAGGGAAACUUCAGCUAAAACCGGAUACGCCCUUCGGGGGAAAGUUUACGCCGAAAGAUCGGCCCGCGUCAGAUUAGGUAGAUGGCGGGGUAAUGGCCCACCAAGCCGAUGAUCUGUAGCUGUUCUGAGAGGAAGAUCAGCCACACUGGGACUGAGACAUGGCCCAGACUCCUACGGGAGGCAGCAGUGGGGAAUAUUGGACAAUGGGCGCAAGCCUGAUCCAGCUAUGCCGCGUGGAUGAAGAAGGCCUUCGGGUUGUAAAGUCCUUUCGGCGGGGAAGAUAAUGACGGUACCCGCAGAAGAAGCCCCGGCUAAUUUCGUGCCAGCCGCCGCGGUAAUAC